rnacentral:rRNA from 1 species
GGUUCAUUCAAAUUUCUGCCCUAUCAACUUUCGAUGGUAGGAUAGUGGCCUACCAUGGUUUCAACGGGUAACGGGGAAUUAGGGUUCUAUUCCGGAGAGGGAGCCUGAGAAACGGCUACCACAUCCAAGGAAGGCAGCAGGCGCGCAAAUUACCCAAUCCCGACCGGGGAGGUAGUGACAAUAAAUACUGAUACAGGGCUCUUUCGGGUCUUGUAAUUGGAAUGAGUACAAUUUAAAUCCCUUAACGAGGAACAAUUGGAGGGCAAGUCUGGUGCCAGCAGCCGCGGUAAUUCCAGCUCCAAUAGCGUAUAUUAAAGUUGUUGCAGUUAAAAAGCUCGUAGUUG